rnacentral:rRNA from 1 species
CCCUUAGAUGUCCUGGGCUGCACGCGCGCUACACUGAUGUGUCCAGUAAGCACCUAACCUCUUCCGAAAGGAACGGGUAACCUUUGCAAAGCACAUCGUGAUGGGGAUAGAUUAUUGCAAUUAUUAGUCUUGAACGAGGAAUUCCUAGUAAGCGCAAGUCAUCAGCUUGUGUUGAUUACGUCCCUGCCCUUUGUACACACCGCCCGUCGCUCCUACCGAUUGAAUGUUCCGGUGAGCUCUUCGGACUGCGCGGUCUGCAGUUUCUGCGUUCCGUGCGGAAAGUUGCACAAACCUUAACAUUUAGAGGAAGGAGAAGUCGUAACA